ensembl:lncRNA
ACUGUGGAGUGCGGCAUAGCUGUUCUCCACUCUCCCUAGCUUUACUCGUUAGUUCUUGUAGAUAGUUGUUGGUUAUAUUCUUUAGAUUAGUAGUUUGUUGUUAAUAGUUUGUAGAAUAGUUAUAAAUAGUUAGCGGGGGUUAAGGGGGCUAUUAUCCCCCCUUUUCCCCCCGGCGCACAGCCGGGCUCAUGCCCAAGGCUCCUGGCUUUAAGCCGUGCGCGUCCUGUGCUAAGCCUAUGCCAACGGGAGACCCUCACGACUCUUGUCUGAAGUGUUUAGGGGAGUCUCACCAGACGGACAAGUGCAAGAUCUGCAAGGCUUUCAGGCCCAGGACCAAAAAGGAGCGGGACUUUAGACUUAAGCAGCUCCUUAUGGAGGGGGCACUUAGCCCAGAUCCUCCUUCGGCGCGCCAAUUCCCGGCACCGAGCGCCUCGGUGCGCAGCACCCCAGUGGCACCCUCCGGUAGUGCACCGCGAGCUGACGCGGAUAAGGCCCCAUGGCACCGUCCUCCCUCGGCACCGUGUCCGCCGCAAGCCCCUCGGCGCCGUUCCCUGUCUCCGGGGCAUAAAAGACCCCGCAAGACCCAGGAUGCUGCCGUCCAACGGGCACCGGCUCCCCCCGCACCGGUGGUAGAGCCACGUCCAGCUUCGGAGUGCCAGAGGGUGCAGGCAUCAUCAACACCAUUGACUCCGGCACCGGAUGUAGGGCCAUUGAGUCCGGUGCGGACUGGCUCACCGCCUCGUCCUGUGGUUGAGUCCUGUCUCCCUUCUACACCGGAAACUUUUGCAACGGCGAAAGACCUCAUCGCCCUCACGGAGCCGGCGCCAUCUCUACCCGCGGCACCGCAUGCCCUUCGUACUGUGCAAUCCAGGGGCAAGCCUGCCCUGAUACGCCCUCCAUCUCCGAGCGUGGACUCGCGGCGCCGCUUGCAGUCCCGGCACCGAUCUCCAUCUCGGCGCCGGUCGUACUCGCGGCCCAGAUCUUCCUCCCGGCACCGGCUUGAGCAUCGGUACCGGUCGGAGUCCAGACGCAGUUCCCGGCACCGGUAUGAGCGCCGCUCCCGUUCGCAAGGCCGCUCCCGGCACCGAGUCUACAGACGGUCUUCGUCUUCGCGAUCCAGAUCUGGAUCCCGGUACCGGCAUGACCAUCGGCACCGUUCUCGAUCCCAGUACUGCUCACCGGCACCGCACAGAGACUGCCCACCUGUGGACUGGCACCGCUCGGCACCGUACCAGGACGAGCCCCUGCAACCAUGCUCGGCACCGCCCUGGCCCUCAAGAUCGGCGUCUCUCUCGUCGGAAGGGGCUUCCCAAUCAGCAUACCCUGUUCAAGGUCAGGCUGCAGACGACUUCGGUCAUUGGCAGGAGGGGGCAGAGGACCCUAGACGGGACCCUGCACAUUGGUCUUUCUGGACCCCAUGGGCAUAUCACCAAGCUCAAGGGGCUCCAUCAGCGGCCUCUCACUCAGCAUACUCUGAGCCCAGGGUUCCUGAGGCCACCAUCUCCCAUCCUCCCCCAGGGGCCAUGGAGGCUCCAGUGCCGGCACCCACUCAGGCCCCAGACCCCGGUGUAGGGGAUCCUGCACAUCAGGGACCCUUGGAUCCGGAUCCUCAUAUGGAUCCUUUACCCCCUGAGGCAUCCUCCUCAUCCUCCCCAGAUGAGGCAGUGGCGGGUACAACAGCCUCAGGCCCACCUCCAAUAGACCUUCGUGCCCACCAAGACUUGUUGCGUAGGGUGGCACGAAACGUGGACCUA